rnacentral:rRNA from 1 species
CCUACGGGAGGCAGCAGUGAGGAAUAUUGGUCAAUGGCCGUAAGGCUGAACCAGCCAAGUCGCGUGAAGGAAGAAGGAUCUAUGGUUUGUAAACUUCUUUUAUAGGGGAAUAAAGGUAUCCACGUGUGGAUCUUUGCAUGUACCCUAUGAAUAAGCAUCGGCUAACUCCGUGCCAGCAGCCGCGGUAAUACGGAGGAUGCGAGCGUUAUCCGGAUUUAUUGGGUUUAAAGGGUGCGUAGGUUGGUUUUUAAGUCAGCGGUGAAAGUUUGUGGCUCAACCAUAAAAUUGCCGUUGAAACUGGAAGACUUGAGUGUGUUUGAGGUAGGCGGAAUGCGUGGUGUAGCGGUGAAAUGCAUAGAUAUCACGCAGAACUCCGAUUGCGAAGGCAGCUUACUAAGCCAUAACUGACACUGAAGCACGAAAGCGUGGGGAUCAAACAGGAUUAGAUACCCCAGUAGUC